UUGGACCUAUAUCUAAGCUGAAGACAGACA
rnacentral:rRNA from 1 species